rnacentral:tRNA from 1 species
GUCCAAGUGGUGGAAUGGUAGACACGCUAGUCUUAGAAACUAGUGUCGAAAGACGUGUGAGUUCAAGUCUCACCUUGGAUACAA